GAACUCGAUUCCGAUUACCGCAGGUCUCUCGGACUAGUUGAGAGGAUCAUUGUCGUUCCAGGUGCAUGUGGUUCGUCCGAUAGAUCGUAGCGUGGCGAAAGCACCGGAGCAGUCUCAGGAAUUACAAUGCGCCUGUAAAACCGGCUAGGCUUCCGACAUAGACGCGGUGGUCUGUCCCCCGAGUGCCAUUCUUCUGGAUCUGAUGCAGCGCAAUGUUCUUUUGCGUCUGCCGACGGGCGAGCUCGGUCAACGUAAUACAACUGCUUCGAAUUGAGGCUACCAUAUCUUCUGCUAGAGCGGAACAUGUUCCCUCGGGAAUGUGAACAACAACCGGCCUGGCCUCUGGAUCUGGAGAUCCAUGAGAGUUAAUGGGCCGACAACAUCCCGCGAGGUUAUAAUAGUGGUCCCGAAAUCGAGAAGGCUGGGCCAGCGGACACAGCACUGACUACGGGGUGAAAUUAUACAUUUCAUGUAUUCCACAGCACCCUGAUAGCCCAAAUCCUCUGUUGAUAAAAACAGGACUCCCAUCCGAGUCAGUGGAGAUAUAUCGGGUGCUGCUUUCCAUCGGCCAGCCCACGCACUGCUCUUGGUAUCUGGAGCGGGUACGCAAAACAGGUGUUCGCCUGGGAGGGGUAACGCAUUUGCGACACGAGCGAUGUCUGCCAUAGCCUCGGGAGAAUAGCGCAACACCUCUUGCCAUGGUUCGGGGAUUCUGGCAAACUCUACUAGUUCCACAAAUGCCCCGUUGGGGCAGUAUGCGUUCAGAACAGAUUGGGGAGGGGUUUGACCGAUCACCGUUCCAACCGGGAAUUGCCUGAAUGCGGCACGGUCCCGACGUCCCCGUGGGCCUACUAAGGCCCCGGUCAUAAUAUCGACGGGAACUGGGCCAUGGGAUGUGUUGAAUCUGUGGAUAGCUUCUACUAUCUCUGGACUAUCCGUCAUAGGGGGACGUGUCCGCAAGGCCAGAGGAGGAUGUCACCUGAAUAUCAUUGCGUUGGACGGCUCGGCCGGACUUGGGAGGACGCCCACGUGGGCGUCCUCCCCCACGCCUGUUUGCGGUUUCUUGGGGUAAGUAGUCCUCAUCUUCCAGUUUACGCGUUCGGGGCGAUGUUUUUCUCCCCUUAGACUGCGGUCCGGAUCGCCCACCACGAUUACUACCUCUGCCCCGACGCGGGCGGCUCGAACAAUCAGCCCGCGGUCUGGGGGGCGACGGAGAUGGUGACCUAGAUGAUGAAGGUGAAGACGGGACGAUUAGAGAAGAUGAUGACGGUGAGGAUGAUGAAGAGGAGGAAGAUGAAGAGGAUGGCGAUCUGGAAACAUGUCCGACGUUCCGGGCCGCGUGGUCUGGGGGAACUUCGUGGAGAUGAGGUUGUGUGAGGCAGUUCGCUCAUUCUGCCAGAAGAUGGAGUAGUCAGCCGUGGACCUGAGGUGAGUGGUGCAGCUCAACUCUAGCUUCGCGAAUGGCCGCGGAGAGCGCAGGAGGCAGCGUGGUAGAUGGUUGUGGCAUCUCAAAAGUAACUUCGCAGCCAGGCAUUUAAAGUCUUUCCAUGCCAAACCGGUCCAGGGAUUGGUGCUUCCAUCUCGGCCGUCCACCCAGGUAAUCUCGGGCAAUGGGAACAGCAAUCACUUUCGAAUUCCUUCAGCCCAAAGCACAACCGCGGGUCCACCGGGACUCUCCGACAUAGCUCGAGCCAAAAGGGAAUUGUAGCCCAGGAAGGGCGGUGCAUAUCUGCAAGUAAACAAAACUCGGGGUUCUGUACGAUUGGCCGGGGUCUUACAUGCUCGCCGAAUUGGAUUUGAGAAUCAAUCUUCCGACGGGUCUCCUGACUUGAACAGGGGAAAGGGGGAGGGGGAGUGUGUUAUCUUGUCGCGAACCAAUAA
rnacentral:sRNA from 1 species